AUUAUUUUACAUCAAGAAAGAUUGGAAUGUUUGUUUCUGUUCUGUUUUUUUUCUUAAUGAAUAUGGGAACUGAAAGCUUUUGACGGUUACUGUAUAGUGUACAAAAGUUAUCUUUUUUUUUCAGGAGUUUCAUUGUAAAAUAAUCAUAAUCAUUCAAUUAGAAUCUUAUUAAAAAAUUUUUAAUUUUCAAGAUAAAUGUUGGUGUUUAGAUGUCAUUUCAGAGUUGUCUUCUUUGUUUUGUACAGAUUAAUAGAAAAAAAUCUCUACCUAUAUAUAUCUAUCUAUAUAUACAUCUUAUGCUAUAGAUAGUUCUCCAUGUUUAUGGCAAAUAAGAAAUGUUUGUGGAUAAUGCCUUAGAGUGUUUAUUGACUCUAUGAAUUCAUUGUCACCCAUCACGGUAGCCCAGUGAUAUCUUGUAAUAGUCACCAGCAAUAACAUUGUAACAAACUUGUAUUUACAUUCGAUUAUGGCAAUUAAAUUGCAACGUUGGAUUUUGAAAUAAACAUGGAUAACUUGU
rnacentral:misc_RNA from 1 species